GCCACCUUUGCUUAAAGUUUUUGGUUAUUCUUGAAUAAAACUUUAAAUUCCUUUUGAAUGUUCUACCCUACCAUUUACCUUUUGUGUCACUAUACCCCACUCCCUCUAGCAUUAAACGGGGGCCCUCAAUCCUUCUGUUCUUGUGCGUCCAACUUGUCUGGUUACAAAUACGUGUCUGUUCGUCCACCCAUUGUACAGCGCUAUGGAACUUGUUGGCACUUUAUAAAUAAUAAUUGACACUGUCUAUUAACUCUAUGUAUGUUUGAUUAUUUAACCCGUAAUGUGUAGAUCAGAAAUCAUGAUCUGUGAAUGACAGAAUUAUC